rnacentral:rRNA from 1 species
UACACACCGCCCGUCACACCAUGGGAGUUGGUUUCACCCGAAGGCGCUGCGCUAACCGCAAGGAGGCAGGCGACCACGGUGGGAUUAGCGACUGGGGUG